rnacentral:rRNA from 1 species
CCUACGGGAGGCUGCAGUGAGGAAUAUUGGUCAAUGGACGAGAGCCUGAACCAGCCAAGUAGCGUGAAGGAUGACUGCCCUAUGGGUUGUAAACUUCUUUUAUAAGGAAUAAAACGAGGCACGUGUGCCUUUUUGCAUGUACUUUAUGAAUAAGGACCGGCUAACUCCGUGCCAGCAGCCGCGGUAAUACGGAGGAUCCGAGCGUUAUCCGGAUUUAUGGGGUGUAAAGGGAGCGUAGAUGGGUUGUUAAGUCAGUUGUGAAAGUUUGGGGCUCAACCGGAAAAUUGCAAUUGAUACUGGCAGUCUUGAGUACAGUAGAGGUAGGCGGAAUUCGUGGUGUAGCGGUGAAAUGCUUAGAUAUCACGAAGAACCCCGAUGGCGAAGGCAGCUUACUAAACUGUGACUGACAUUGAUGCUCGAAAGUGUGGGUAUCAAACAGGAUUAGAUACCCUGGUAGUC